UACAGGGGGGGCAAGCGUUGUUCGGAUUCACUGGGCGUAAAGGGUGCGUAGGUGGUGAGGUAAGUCGGAUGUGAAAGCUCGGAGCUCAACCCCGAGUCGGCCGUGCGAACUGGGCUCACUGGAGCAUAGUAGAGGCAGGUGGAAUUCCCGGUGUAGCGGUGAAAUGCGCAGAUAUCGGGAAGAACACCCGUGGCGAAGGCGGUUCUCUGGGACGGUACUGACGCUGAGACGCGAAAGCGUGGGGAGCGAACAGG
rnacentral:rRNA from 1 species